GAUGAACGCUAGCGGCAGGCUUAAUACAUGCAAGUUGAGGGGCAGCAUGAUAUACGCGAGUAUAUUGAUGGCGACCGGCGGACGGGUGAGUAAUAGGUAGGAGACCUACCUCAUACAGGGGGAUAGCAUAGAGAAAUCUGUGGUAAUACCCCAUGAGGUUAUAUGAAUAGAGGCAUAUAAUCAAAGCAUAAGCGAUUAUGCGGUAUGAGAGGGGCCUACUGACCAUUAGCUAGUUGGUGAGGUAAGGGCUCACCAAGGCGAAGAUGGUUAGGGGUUUUGAGAGAGAGACCCCCCACAUUGGAACUGAGAGACGGUCCAGACUCCUACGGGAGGCAGCAGUAGGGAAUAUUGGGCAAUGGGCGAAAGCCUGACCCAGCCAUGCCGCGUGAAGGAAGACGGCCUUAUGGGUUGUAAACUUCUUUACUACGCGAAUAGAGGUUAGUACGAGAUACUAAUAGGAAGGUAGUGUAGUAAAAGCACCGGCUAAACUCCGUGCC
rnacentral:rRNA from 1 species